rnacentral:misc_RNA from 1 species
UCCUAGUUAACCUAGGCAGUCUCGUUAGAGUUCCCGCCUUCACGCGCUGGCAACUAACGAUAAGGGUUGCGCUCGUUGCUGGACUUAACCAAACACCUCACGGCACGAGCUGACGACAGCCAUGCAGCACCUAUAUAGAACUCCUUUCGGAACAGGCUAUCUCUAGCCCUUUUCUCUACAUUUCGAGCCCAGGUAAGGUUCUUCGCGUUGCAUCGAAUUAAACCACAUGCUCCACUGCUUGUGCGGGCCCCCGUCAAUUCUUUUGAGUUUCACCCUUGCGAGCGUACUCCCCAGGCGGCAUACUUAACGCGUUAGCUCCGAUACAAAAAGGGUUGAGCCUUUUUACAUCUAGUAUGCAUCGUUUACGGCUAGGACUAC